GACGAACGCUGGCGGCGUGCUUAACACAUGCAAGUCGAACGGAAAGGCCCUGCUUUUGUGGGGUGCUCGAGUGGCGAACGGGUGAGUAACACGUGAGUAACCUGCCCUUGACUUUGGGAUAACUUCAGGAAACUGGGGCUAAUACCGGAUAGGAGCUCCUGCUGCAUGGUGGGGGUUGGAAAGUUUCGGCGGUUGGGGAUGGACUCGCGGCUUAUCAGCUUGUUGGUGGGGUAGUGGCUUACCAAGGCUUUGACGGGUAGCCGGCCUGAGAGGGUGACCGGCCACAUUGGGACUGGGAUACGGCCCAGACUCCUACGGGAGGAAGCGGUGGGGAAUAUUGCAAAAUGGGCGGAGGCCUGAUGCAGCACCGCCGCGUGCGGGAUGACGGCCUUCGGGUUGUAAACCGCUUUCGCGUGUGACGAAGCGUGAGUAACGGUAAUGGGUAAAGAAGCACCGGCUAACUACGU
rnacentral:rRNA from 1 species